AGUGAACGCUGGCGGUAGGCCUAACACAUGCAAGUCGAACGGCAGCACAGUAAGGGCUUGCUCUUACGGGUGACGAGUGGCGGACGGGUGAGGCAUACAUCGGAAUCUACUUUUUCGUGGGGGAUAACGUAGGGAAACUUACGCUAAUACCGCAUACGACCUACGGGUGAAAGCAGGGGAUCUUCGGACCUUGCGCGAUUGAAUGAGCAGAUGUCGGAUUAGCUAGUUGGCGGGGUAAAGGCCCACCAAGGCGACGAUCCGUAGCUGGUCUGAGAGGAUGAUCCGCCACACUGGAACUGAGACACGGUCCAGACACCUACAGGAGGCAGCAGUGGGGAAUAUUGGACAAUGGGCGCAAGCCGGAUCCAGCCAUACCGGGUGGAUGAAGAAGGCCUUCGGGUUGUAAAGCCCUUUUGUUGGGAAAGAAAAGCAGCAGUUUAAUACCCCACUGUACUGACGGUACCCAAAGAAGAAGCACCGGCUAACUUCGUG
rnacentral:rRNA from 1 species